rnacentral:rRNA from 1 species
GUAGGUGGCGAGCGCUGUCCGGAUUUACUGGGCGUAAAGAGCGCGCAGGCGGCUGGUUAAGUCCGAUGUGAAAGCUCCCGGCUUAACUGGGAAAUUGCAUCGGAAACUGAUCGGCUGGAAGGUGGGAGAGGGUAGCGGAAUUCCCGGUGUAGUGGUGAAAUGCGUAGAUAUCGGGAGGAACACCAGUGGCGAAAGCGGCUACCUGGCCCAUUCUUGACGCUGAGGCGCGAAAGCUAGGGGAGCAAACGGGAUUAGAUACCCCGGUAGUCCUAGCCGUAAACGAUGAACACUAGGCGUAGUCGGUAUCGACCCCGGCUGUGCCGUAGCCAACGCAUUAAGUGUUCCGCCUGGGGAGUACGGCCGCAAGGCUA